rnacentral:rRNA from 1 species
CGGAGGGAGCUAGCGUUAUUCGGAAUUACUGGGCGUAAAGCGCACGUAGGCGGCUUUGUAAGUAAGAGGUGAAAGCCCAGAGCUCAACUCUGGAAUUGCCUUUUAGACUGCAUCGCUUGAAUCAUGGAGAGGUCAGUGGAAUUCCGAGUGUAGAGGUGAAAUUCGUAGAUAUUCGGAAGAACACCAGUGGCGAAGGCGGCUGACUGGACAUGUAUUGACGCUGAGGUGCGAAAAGCGUGGGGGAGCAAACAGGAUU